rnacentral:rRNA from 1 species
UACGGAGGGGGCUAGCGUUGUUCGGAAUUACUGGGCGUAAAGCGCGCGUAGGCGGCUUUGUAAGUUAGAGGUGAAAGCCCGGAGCUUAACUCCGGAACUGCCUUUAAGACUGCAUCGCUAGAAUUGUGGAGAGGUAAGUGGAAUUCCGAGUGUAGAGGUGAAAUUCGUAGAUAUUCGGAAGAACACCAGUGGCGAAGGCGGCUCACUGGACCGGUACUGACGCUGAUGCGCGAAAGCGUGGGGAGCAAACAGG